rnacentral:rRNA from 1 species
GAUGAACGCUAGCGGCAGGCCUAACACAUGCAAGUCGAGGGGUAGAGGAAGCUUGCUUCCUUGAGACCGGCGCACGGGUGCGUAACGCGUAUGCAAUCUACCUUAUACAGAGGGAUAGCCCAGAGAAAUUUGGAUUAAUACCUCAUAGUAUUAUGAAAUCGCAUGGUUUUAUAAUUAAAGUUCCAACGGUAUAAGAUGAGCAUGCGUCCCAUUAGUUAGUUGGUAAGGUAACGGCUUACCAAGACAAUGAUGGGUAGGGGUCCUGAGAGGGAGAUCCCCCACACUGGUACUGAGACACGGACCAGACUCCUACGGGAGGCAGCAGUGAGGAAUAUUGGUCAAUGGACGCAAGUCUGAACCAGCCAUGCCGCGUGCAGGAUGACGGUCCUAUGGAUUGUAAACUGCUUUUAACAGGAAGAAACACUCCCUCGUGAGGGAGCUUGACGGUACUGUAGGAAUAAGGAUCGGCUAACUCCGUGCCAGC